UAGUAGCGCAAUAAAUUGUCCUUUAAUUGGGGAAAUGAAUGAAAGGGUUGACGAGGGGGAAGCUAUCUUUUUGGUAUAGUUUGAAGUUUUCUUUUAUGUGAAAAGACUUAGAUUUUAUAAUUAGAAGAGAAGACCCCGGCGAGCUUGUUAAGGGUUACUAAGUUGAGGUAAUUAUUGAUUUUUGUUGGGGCAACGCAAAGGGAAAAGAACUCCUUUGAGUUUUAUAGGGAUCCACUUAGAGUGAACAAAGCAAAAGCUACCGCGGGGAUAACAGCGCAAUUUCUUCAGAGAGCUCAUAUCGAAGAGGAAGGUUGCGACCUCG
rnacentral:rRNA from 1 species